AAGUAGUUAAGGAGGAGAACCAGAAUUCCAACCUUCUGGUUCCAGAUCAGUUUCUUUCCUCUGGACCAUCCUGUCUCUUCCUAACUGGGGUUUACAGCGUUCCUCACAGUUAGCCACAAAGAAGGCUUGUUUCUGAUCUACUGUCUAGUGGUUAAUGUCCCUGUGCAAAUUCUACUUUGCUACCAAACUGGUUAAGAGAGACAUCUAAGGUCUCCCUUAACUCAGGUUCAGGAGCGGGUUUCUAUGCCCCAUGCCAGUAGCUUGCUUUUUAUAUUGGGAUCUUUCAGUCUAUACUGGCAACGCUUUUGCCUUCCACUCUGAUAAAGAACAGAGGAAAUUGGAUAAAUUUCUAAGUUAGAGAGAAUAAUCCAACAGGGAUUCUUCACAGCCGGGCAUUGCUCCUUUCAUAAAAGACAUGAAGUGGGGAGAGCUCUUUCAACUCUUCUUUUGUUGAGCUGAACAGUACGAUUGCAGGUAAGUAAGAAAGCAAGAUGCAGGCUCCCUAAUGCUUUGAUUGUGCCUCAGACUCGCUCAUAAAUGGAUGGGCUAUUGAUAUUUCGUCUCCCAGUCCAGCUUCAACUAUUCAGACAGAACCUAAUAACAACAUGCCAGCAUCAGGCUUCAUAAUAAAAAAGGGGAGGGGGAGAGGACUAACAAGAAAUCAACUUCCUCAAGAUGGUUUCUAAGCACGAUUCCAAAACACUUUUUUUUUUUGGAACUACUGAACUUGGUUUCCAUAUGCUACCCAGGGCUGCAGGCAAGAACUAACCAUUCUAUCCUCUCCAAUUAUUAUUAUUGUUGUUAGUUAUUAUAAUAGAAGCUGGCUUCAGAUCCACACAUAUCAUUCUCCAGAGUCCCAUGCACCCCACCUGUCCUUAAUAGCCCCAUAUCUUCAAAUGCACAAGCCAUAAAUGAACUGUGACUUUUAGUACCUAGGCAUGGGGGGCAGAAAAAUGAAGACAGCUGCGUCCAGAGAACAGUGGAGAACAGGAACAUCUGUGUCCUACAGGGGUGGGACUACUUUGAAGAUUCUGCUUCUAAACCUUCCUUGGUGACAUAUCAACAAGAAGCUGUCUAAGGUUUGUUCUCACCAAAGAUGCUGUUGACACAAUCCUCCUAAAGCAGCAUGAUGUGAGGAAAAAGGCAGUAAGGCACCUAGAUUCUGGUCUGAGCUCUCCUUAGAUGAAGCCCUCAGGAGCUGUGUGACAUGGGGCAAAACACUCCAUGGCUCUGGAUUUCAUUUUCUUCAUUUGGAAAUAAAUGAUUAUUAUUGGGGUGAAAAUCCCUGAACUGAAACAAAAUCCAGGUUGGCUUGAUAAAGCACCUUCCUCCCUGGGGUUAGAAGAACCAAAGCAGUUCUAUUCUGCUUGCCUGAUCAGAGCUGGAUAUUGAAAGCAAGAGAAAGGGGCCCUACUUGACUACUUUGCCUAUGACCAAAAGGAAUUUAUCAAAAACUGCAAAUGAGAAAGUUCUGUUUUAUCCUGAUGCACUUGGCAAAGCGCUAAACCCCAAAGACAAGAUCUAUGCAUUUGAAGUCCCUGUUUUCAAUGAUUUGUUUACGAGAAAGGGAAAGUCACCUUCAUGUCCCCAAGCUAUGGACUUUAUCAUCAGAGUGGGCUGAAUUACAGUGGGCAAAGUAGACUUCAAGUCCCUUCAACUAGGAGGAUGGGGAUGGAAAGAGAUGAAAGUUCGGUGACUAGUAUUGUGGUGAUUUCUCUACCCCAUUCAGGGCUGGAGUUACAGGCGAAGAACAUUUAUUUCUCGAGCACUGUGAUUACAAAUAAAUCAGCCUGGUUCCCCAUGGAAGGUCUUUGACUGUGUUUGGCUUCUGAUUAGCGGAGUCUUUUUUC